rnacentral:rRNA from 1 species
AAAUUUGGAUUAAUACCUCAUAGUAUAGUGAGUUGGCAUCAACACACUAUUAAAGUCACAACGGUAAAAGAUGAGCAUGCGUCCCAUUAGCUAGUUGGUAAGGUAACGGCUUACCAAGGCAACGAUGGGUAGGGGUCCUGAGAGGGAGAUCCCCCACACUGGUACUGAGACACGGACCAGACUCCUACGGGAGGCAGCAGUGAGGAAUAUUGGUCAAUGGGCGCAAGCCUGAACCAGCCAUGCCGCGUGCAGGAUGACGGUCCUAUGGAUUGUAAACUGCUUUUGCACAGGAAGAAACACUCGGUCGUGACCGAGCUUGACGGUACUGUGAGAAUAAGGAUCGGCUAACUCCGUGCCAGCAGCCGCGGUAAUACGGAGGAUCCA